GGGUCGUUAGCUCAGCCGGUAGAGCAACUGACUUUUAAUCAGUGGGUCGCAGGUUCGAGCCCUGCACGACCCACCA
rnacentral:tRNA from 1 species